UUGUAUAUUAUACAAGUGGUUUAUCUAGAGAGAAUAGCUGCAACUGAGGCAAAACACAUCCAAAAGAGGGCAAAAAGGACACUUACGUUGGGAUCUGAGGAAGAUGCCGCGGCUCUAACCUCAGUUGGACAUAAUAAAUCAAAGAAAAAGGCCUUGUCAUAUUCCAGUAGGAUGUUAGAAAACGAGAUCUUGAAUGUCCUAGACAAUCCAACAAACAAUGGGAUGCAGAAUGUACAGGUUGCUGAG